CGGAAUGUAGCUCAGCUUGGUAGAGCACUUGGUUUGGGACCAAGGGGUCGCAGGUUCGAAUCCUGUCUUCCCGACCA
rnacentral:tRNA from 2 species